ACUUUCUGCUAUGCUAUUCCAUACUAUUUUGUUUGUAGAAGCACACAAUUCAAUUUACAGUUUUGAAUUUAUUGGCAUCUCCUUUUCAUGGUAGUUCCUGUUGUGCCAAAAUGUCUGUGGACAUCAAUAUGAAGGAACCCACGAGUCUAGAGUCAAAGUCCACCUUGGGAAAAGUUGGAGAAUGGGCAACAGAUAAAAUGGACUUUCUGGAAGCUAAGGAAAAUGAUAGGGACAUGAAUUCACAAGUGAGAGAGAUGAGCCAGAGAAUGGAAGAUAAGAGUAAGCCACUUCUAACAACAGGAUGAUAGUAGCCCACGGUGAGCUUUAACAUGUUCUGAGGGCUUUGUAAAUUUCAGCUGUUUUAAUUUCUGCAAAAGGAGGUGGAGCUUGAUUUAUGGUAGAUGAUUGAAAAUGGAACAAUGGUUAUAAUAAGGCAUCUAAAUAAGACUAUCUGUGUGUGUGCAUGUGUGUGUGCGCGCGCGUAUCAGCUAGCCAGAUGGCUGUCUAACCUAAAGACAGUGUAGAUGUUACUUGUAAGAUUUUUUUUGCUGCUAAUGGGUUAUGCACAUGAGGUUUGGUAAUUAUAAAAAAUAUUGAUGCAAGCCGGAAACCUUGGCACGGCGGCAGUGUGUAGUUCUCAGAACAGGAGUAACAGGACACACACAUUUGUCUUCGGCUCGCUACUCAUACAACUGUCGUUUCCAACUGUUGUGGAACCUUCUGGUUGCAAAAUUCCAUCCCUCACAUAGUAACAAGAGAGUCAAAACAGUCCCUCCCUCCAGAGCUUUGAUCACACAACAGUUUUGUAACCAUGUUCUCGCAGAAAGUUCCAUAGUCCACCCUUCUGGAACAAAAUAAAGUGAUUUCCAGAAAGGAUAUGGGUCAGCGACAAUGUGGGAAGAAAUAAGAAAAAUCAAUAACCUACAUUUUAAUGUGAAAUGACGACGUUUUUAGCUUUAACAACAGACUUCCUAGGCAUGGUUCAGGAGAGAACUCGAGAACAUAAUUUUAGAACCAGAAGGAGGCUUAGAAAUAAUGAGAACUUUACACCCGGAUUGCACAGGUGAGGAAAUGGAAACCCUGACUGGGGAACUUUCUUCAGUCACACAACUAGUUAUCCACUUUCAGCUUGGUGUUCUUUCAGUCUUCAUUUGCCUCCUAAAUAAACGAUCUGCUGGCUC